rnacentral:misc_RNA from 1 species
AUUUCAUAUACCUUUCAUGUAAUGAUUUUAUGCAAGCGCAAGUAUAUUAAUAACAGAGGCAAGUUUAAGCAUUUAUAUUUAGUAAAAUUGAAUAUUAAUAUCAAUAUGAUAUGGUUAAUUCCAUCCAAGGUCAUGAAUUUUCAUUUUUUUUUAUCACUUUAAUGCUUAUUAGUUAUUAUUAUGUUUGUUUUAUGUUAUUUGAAGUUUGUUGGAAUAUUCUCAUUUAUUUACUUCUUACGAAUUUUUUUAAUUUUUGCGCCUUA